ACGAACGCUGGCGGCGUGCUUAACACGUGCAAGUCGAACGGAAAGGCCCUGCUUUUGUGGGGUGCUCGAGUGGCGAACGGGGGAGUAACACGUGAGUAACCUGCCCUUGACUUUGGGAUAACUUCAGGAAACUGGGGCUAAUACCGGAUAGGAGCUCCUGCUGCAUGGGGGGGGUUGGAAAGUUUCGGCGGUUGGGGAUGGACUCGCGGCUUAUCAGCUUGUUGGUGGGGUAGUGGCUUACCAAGGCUUUGACGGGUAGCCGGCCUGAGAGGGUGACCGGCCACAUUGGGACUGCGAUACGGCCCAGACUCCUACGGGAGGCAGCAGUGGGGAAUAUUGCACAAUGGGCGGAAGCCUGAUGCAGCAACGCCGCGUGCGGGAUGACGGCCUUCGGGUUGUAAGCCGCUUUCGCCUGUGACGAAGCGUGAGUGACGGUAAUGGGUAAAGAAGCACCGGCUAACUACGUG
rnacentral:rRNA from 1 species